rnacentral:rRNA from 1 species
UACGGAAGGCAGCAGUGGGGAAUAUUGCACAAUGGGCGCAAGCCUGAUGCAGCCAUGCCGCGUGUAUGAAGAAGGCCUUCGGGUUGUAAAGUACUUUCAGUCGUGAGGAAGGUGUUAAGGUUAAUAACCUUAGCAAUUGACGUUAGCGACAGAAGAAGCACCGGCUAACUCCGUGCCAGCAGCCGCGGUAAUACGGAGGGUGCGAGCGUUAAUCGGAAUUACUGGGCGUAAAGGGCACGCAGGCGGUUAAUUAAGUUGGAUGUGAAAUCCCCGGGCUUAACCUGGGAAUGGCAUUCAAGACUGGUUAGCUAGAGUCUUGUAGAGGGGGUAGAAUUCCAUGUGUAGCGGUGAAAUGCGUAGAGAUGUGGAGGAAUACCGGUGGCGAAGGCGGCCCCUGGACAAAGGCUGACGCUCAUGUGCGAAAGCGU